rnacentral:ribozyme from 1 species
ACGACCCGCAAGGCCGACGCAUAACGCGCCGCUGGUGCAAGCCCAGCGCCCCGCGCAACGGGGCGGCGCUCAUGGGUAACAA